UACGUAGGGUGCGAGCGUUAAUCGGAAUUACUGGGCGUAAAGCGUGCGCAGGCGGUUUUGUAAGCCAGAUGUGAAAGCCCCGGGCUUAACCUGGGAAUGGCAUUUGGGACUGCAAGGCUUGAGUGCGGCAGAGGAGACUGGAAUUCCUGGUGUAGCAGUGAAAUGCGUAGAUAUCAGGAGGAACACCAGCGGCGAAGGCGGCGCUCUGGGCCGGUACUGACACUGAGGAGCGAAAGCGUGGGGAGCAAACAGG
rnacentral:rRNA from 1 species